AUUGAACGCUGGCGGCAGGCCUAACACAUGCAAGUCGAGCGGAUGAGGGAAGCUUGCUUCCCGAUUUAGCGGCGGACGGGUGAGUAAUGCCUAGGAAUCUGCCUAUUAGUGGGGGAUAACGUUCCGAAAGGAACGCUAAUACCGCAUACGUCCUACGGGAGAAAGUGGGGGAUCUUUGGACCUCACGCUAAUAGAUGAGCCUAGGUCGGAUUAGCUAGUUGGUGAGGUAGCGGCUCACCAAGGCGACGAUCCGUAGCUGGUCUGAGAGGAUGAUCAGCCACACUGGAACUGAGACACGGUCCAGACUCCUACGGGAGGCAGCAGUGGGGAAGAUUGGACAAUGGGCGAAAGCCUGAUCCAGCCAUGCCGCGUGUGUGAAGAAGGUCUUCGGAUUGUAAAGCACUUUAAGUUGGGAGGAAGAGUUGUAAGCUAAUAUCUUGCAGCUUUGACGUUACCAACAGAAUAAGCACCGGCUAACUCUGUGCCAGCCGCCGCAGUAAAAC
rnacentral:rRNA from 1 species